CCUACGGGUGGCAGCAGUGAGGAAUAUUGGUCAAUGGGCGCGAGCCUGAACCAGCCAAGUAGCGUGAAGGAUGACUGCCCUACGGGUUGUAAACUUCUUUUAUAAAGGAAUAAAGUGAGGCGCGUGUGCCUUUUUGUAUGUACUUUAUGAAUAAGGAUCGGCUAACUCCGUGCCAGCAGCCGCGGUAAUACGGAGGAUCCGAGCGUUAUCCGGAUUUAUUGGGUUUAAAGGGAGCGUAGGUGGGUUGUUAAGUCAGUUGUGAACGUUUGCGGCUCAACCGUAAAAUUGCAAUUGAUACUGGCAGUCUUGAGUACAGUUGAGGCAGGCGGAAUUCGUGGUGUAGCGGUGAAAUGCUUAGAUAUCACGAAGAACUCCGAUUGCGAAGGCAGCUUACUAGACUGCCACUGACAUUGAUGCACGAAAGUGUGGGUAUCAAACAGGAUUAGAUACCCCUGUAGUC
rnacentral:rRNA from 1 species